CCUUCUCCUGCUGACGGUCUGAUCGCUGGAGGGCUUUUUUCUCCCGGGUGAGGUGUGUUGAGGUAACAAUGCCUUCCCUCUCACAGGGAGAAUGACAAGGUUCCUAGGAGAGGCAACUGAGGACAGCCAGGACCUUCCCAUUCAAGGGCAGCCGCAGGAAAUAGGUCACAGGCCCCAGGACAUAGCCUGAGUUCCUCGGGGACAUCCCAGAGCUGCCUUGGGAGUGAAGGGACUGGGGCGGCCCAGGAGGGAGGCAGGGCCUAAACCUCUGCCCUUGAAAAUGGAAGAGCCUCUGGCUGCCUCGAGUCCCAGGGUGAGGGUUCUUUCCACCGGACUCCUCUAUUGUCCAUGAAUAAUUUGCACCGGCCUGGCAAGGCAGUCCCCGACCACAUCCCUCUUCUCACUUUUCUGGAACAUCAACGCCAGCUUCUCUGCUCUCCUUCGGGCAGCUCUCCCGCCCGCUCUGGCAAGCUGGAGGACCCGUGUGUUCAAAAUCCUUGGUCAGUUCGUUCCCCUCCUGGAGGGAAGACAACCAGAGAAUGUCCCUGUCCUUGUCAGCACGCGAUCCUCUGCAGCUGUUAAAAACAAUAAAAGAAAUGAAGACUUUCUCUACCUCCUUCUGUGGAAUGACCUUCCAGAUAUAUUAAAUACAAUUUAAAACAAAGAAUUGUAAGGUGGAGAUCUCUCUCUCUUUCUUUUCCCUUCCCCUCCCAGAAUGGCCCCGAAGUGGGCCGAGCAAGGUAGGCGUGCAGGCUGUGGCGAGGUGGGGAGCCUGCGUCAGGUAAGGAGGGCACCAGGGCAGGAGGGGCGUGGCCUGGGGGGGUCAGAGCAGGAAAUGGGGAAGGAGGGCAUCCACGGAAUGGGUCCUUUCACCCACUUGGGUGUCAGAGCCCAAAAGGGGUGAGGUGGGCAUCGCCAAGGGAGGCCCGCCUAUUAUGGUGUGUCGGAGGCCAGGCAUGGUAGGAGGGCACUCACAUGAGAGGGUGGACUCAAAUGGAGUGUGGGAGCCCAGGAAAGGGGAGAGAACUUUUGUGCCCUUGAGGCAGCCCUUGGGGGAGGAGGGGCUGCCAUGUGAGAUUGGUAAUAUAUAAUAGGGAUUCAUCAAAUAAGUCAAUAUUUUCAGACUAACAGGGGCUGGACUUCUCACUGUUGGUGAGGGAGG
rnacentral:lncRNA from 1 species